rnacentral:rRNA from 1 species
UACAGAGGUCUCAAGCGUUGUUCGGAAUCACUGGGCGUAAAGGGUGCGUAGGUGGCGGGGUAAGUCAGAUGUGAGAGCCCGGGGCUCAACCUCGGAGCUGCAUCCGAUACUACCUUGCUAGAGUACUGAAGAGGUGACUAGAAUUCUCGGUGUAGCAGUGAAAUGCGUAGAUAUCGAGAGGAAUACCAAAGGCGAAGGCAGGUCACUGGGCAGUUAUUGACACUGAGGCACGAAGGCUAGGGGAGCAAACGGG